rnacentral:ncRNA from 2 species
GAUGAGAGACAGGGGCGUUCGUCGACAGACGGGCUGAGAAGAACCCUUCGAACCUGAACCGGAUAAUGCCGGCGGAGGGAGUCGCUCGGGGAUCGCC